rnacentral:rRNA from 1 species
GUGCACGCUGGCGGUAGGCCUAACACAUGCAAGCCGAACGGCAGCACAGUAAGAGCUUGCUCUUACGGGUGGCGAGUGGCGGACGGGUGAGGAAUACAUCGGAAUCUACUUUUUCGUGGGGGAUAACGUAGGGAAACUUACGCUAAUACCGCAUACGACCUACGGGUGAAAGCAGGGGAUCUUCGGACCUUGCGCGAUUGAAUGAGCCGAUGUCGGAUUAGCUAGUUGGCGGGGUAAAGGCCCACCAAGGCGACGAUCCGUAGCUGGUCUGAGAGGAUGAUCAGCCACACUGGAACUGAGACACGGUCCAGACUCCUACGGGAGGCAGCAGUGGGGAAUAUUGGACAAUGGGCGCAAGCCUGAUCCAGCCAUACCGCGUGGGUGAAGAAGGCCUUCGGGUUGUAAAGCCCUUUUGUUGGGAAAGAAAAGCAGCAGGUUAAUACCCCGCUGUUCUGACGGUACCCAAAGAAUAAGCACCGGCUAACUUCGUG